AUGAGCACAGAUACACCCUCUGAUCCAAUUGCUUCAUCUACUCAAUCUGAUAUUAUUAGCAACCAUAUUCAGGGUGAAACAGCCGAACCUCCACCUACAUUGGAACAAACUAAUGAUGAAGAAAAUGCUAAUAAGAAAAGGAAAGUUGGAUAUGCUUCAACAUGGGCAACAUCCAAUGAUCCUAAUGUUGCAACUCGAGAUUCACGUAAUAGAAAACCUAUUAAACAUAGAUCUUGGACUUCAGAACAUUUUACAAAAAAUAGGAUCAAGAGGUAA